GAUCAAAUCAAGCGCGAAAAGGGCGUUUGGUGGAUGCCUAGGCAGUAAGAGGCGAUGAAGGACGUGAUACCCUGCGUUAAGCUGUGGUGAGCCGGGAAUAGGCUUUGACCCACAGAUCUCCGAAUGGGGAAACCCACCUGACAGUUCGUUAUAAUUGCACCUGAAGUAAUUUGGGGGCAGCUUAUAAUGGGCUGAAACAGGUACUUUAAUCCUGAAUACAUAGGGGUUUUAGAGCAAACCCGGGGAACUGAAACAUCUAAGUACCCGGAGGAAAGGAAAUCAAUAGAGACUCCGCUAGUAGUGGCGAGCGAACGCGGACCAGCCGAGCCCUGAAGAGUGAGUAGAAUGGUCUGGAAAGGCCAGCAAUAUAGGGUGACAGCCCCGUAUACGAAGCUCCAAGGGACAUAUUAAGUAGGGCGGGACACGUGAAAUCCUGUUCGAAGAUCGGGGGACCACCCCCGAAGGCUAAGUACUCCUUACUGACCGAUAGCGAACCAGUACCGUGAGGGAAAGGUGAAAAGCACCCCGACAAGGGGAGUGAAACAGUACCUGAAACCGGACGCCUACAAGCAGUCGGAGGGACAUCAGUCCUGACGGCGUACCUUUUGUAUAAUGGGUCAACGACUUGGUCUCACGAGCAAGCUUAAGCCGAUAGGUGUAGGCGCAGCGAAAGCGAGUCUUAAAAGGGCGACAGAGUACGUGGGAUCAGACCCGAAACCAAGUGAUCUAGCCAUGUGCAGGAUGAAGGUAAGGUAACACUUACUGGAGGUCCGAACCAACACCCGUUGAAAAGGGUCUGGAUGACGUGUGGCUAGGGGUGAAAGGCCAAUCAAACUUGGAGAUAGCUGGUUCUCCGCGAAAGCUAUUUAGGUAGCGCCUCGGACGAAUACCAUUGGGGGUAGAGCACUACAUGGAUGAUGGGGGCCCACAGCCUUACUGAGUCUAAGUAAACUCCGAAUACCAAUGAGUACUAUCCGGGAGACACACGGCGGGUGCUAACGUCCGUCGUGAAGAGGGAAACAACCCUGACCUGCAGCUAAGGCCCCUAAUUCGUAGUUAAGUGGGAAAGCAUGUGGGACGGCCAAAACAACCAGGAGGUUGGCUUAGAAGCAGCCAUCCUUUAAAGAUAGCGUAACAGCUCACUGGUCUAGAUAAGCUGUCCUGCGGCGAAGAUGUAACGGGGCUCAAACUACGAGCCGAAGCUCAGGAUGUGCAGCAAUGCACGUGGUAGCGGAGCGUUCUGUGAUAUAGAACGCUGUGUAUUUAUGCUCAGCCUGUCUGAGUGUAACAUACACAAUGUUCUUUCUGUGAAGCCGGGCUGUAAGGCAUCCGGUGGAGAGAUCAGAAGCGAGAAUGUUGACAUGAGUAGCGACAAAGAGGGUGAGAGACCCUCUCGCCGAAAGUCCAAGGGUUCCUGCUUAAAGCUAAUCUGAGCAGGGUAAGCCGGCCCCUAAGGCGAGGCCGAAAGGCGUAGUCGAUGGGAACCAGGUUAAUAUUCCUGGGCCGUGAGAUGGUGACGGAUCGCGAAGGUAGUUUGCCCUUAUCGGAUUGGGUGGGCUGCUGAGUGGUCCCUGGAAAUAGCCUCUCUAUAAGACCGUACCCUAAACCGACACAGGUGGACUGGUAGAGAAUACCAAGGCGCUUGAGAGAACCACAUCAAAGGAACUCGGCAAAAUGCCUCCGUAAGUUCGCGAGAAGGAGGCCCCGUCUGUAGGCAACUAUGGGCGGGGGGCACAAACUAGGGGGUGGCGACUGUUUACUUAAAACACAGGGCUCUGCGAAGUCGUAAGACGACGUAUAGGGUCUGACGCCUGCCCGGUGCUGGAAGGUUAAAAGGAGGGGUGCAAGCUCUGAAUUGAAGCCCCAGUAAACGGCGGCCGUAACUAUAACGGUCCUAAGGUAGCGAAAUUCCUUGUCGGGUAAGUUCCGACCUGCACGAAUGGCGUAACGAUCUCCCCGCUGUCUCUGAUGUGGACUCAGCGAAAUUGAACUGUGUGUCAAGAUGCACACUUCCCGCGGUUAGACGGAAAGACCCCAUGCACCUUUACUAUAGCUUCGCACUGGCAUCAGGAUUGAGAUGUGCAGGAUAGGUGGUAGGCAUUGAAUCGGGGACGCCAGUCCUCGUGGAGCCUUCCUUGAGAUACCACCCUUCUUACUCUUGAUGUCUAACCGCGGCCCGUUAUCCGGGUCCGGGACCCUGCGUGGUGGGUAGUUUGACUGGGGCGGUCGCCUCCUAAAGUGUAACGGAGGCGCGCGAAGGUUGGCUCAGAGCGGUCGGAAAUCGCUCGUUGAGUGCAAUGGCAGAAGCCAGCCUGACUGCAAGACUGACAAGUCGAGCAGAGACGAAAGUCGGCCAUAGUGAUCCGGUGGUCCCAAGUGGGAGGGCCAUCGCUCAACGGAUAAAAGGUACGCUGGGGAUAACAGGCUGAUGAUGCCCAAGAGUCCAUAUCGACGGCAUCGUUUGGCACCUCGAUGUCGGCUCAUCUCAUCCUGGGGCUGGAGCAGGUCCCAAGGGUACGGCUGUUCGCCGUUUAAAGAGGUACGUGAGCUGGGUUUAGAACGUCGUGAGACAGUUCGGUCCCUAUCUGCCGUGGGUGUAGGAGACUUGAGAAGAGUUGCCCCUAGUACGAGAGGACCGGGGUGAACGUUCCACUGGUGGACCAGUUAUCAUGCCAAUGGUAGUGCUGGGUAGCUAUGAACGGACAGGAUAACCGCUGAAGGCAUCUAAGCGGGAAGCCCCCUUCAAAACAAGGUCUCCCUUGAGAGCCGUGGAAGACCACCACGUCGAUAGGCCAGAGAUGUAAGUGCAGUAAUGCAUUCAGUUGACUGGUACUAAUUGCUCGAUAGGCUUGAUUUGAUCCAG
rnacentral:rRNA from 1 species